rnacentral:rRNA from 1 species
UACGGGGGGAGCAAGCGUUGUUCGGAUUUACUGGGCGUAAAGGGCGCGUAGGCGGCCACCGCAAGUCGACUGUGAAAUCUCCGGGCUUAACCCGGAAAGGUCAGCCGAUACUGCGGGGCUAGAGUGCAGAAGGGGCAACUGGGAAUUCUCGGUGUAGCGGUGAAAUGCGUAGAUAUCAAGAGGAACACCUGCGGCGAAGGCGGGUUGCUGGGCCGACACUGACGCUGAUGCGCGAAAGCUAGGGGAGCGAACGGG